AGUGAUAGGCAUAUAUACAAGUGGCAGGCUCAUCUAAGUUUUUGCUUCAUGACAUCAUAAACAUCAUCUAAAAGAUCAAUUUAGCAUAAUAUCUAUCCCAUCCAUUUUUUAUCGCUUAUUCCUCUUGAGGUAGUGGGGAGCUGGAGCUAUUAAGGGACCCUUAAUAUGCCUGAUUAUAUUGAACAAUAUGGAGAAAGCACACCCUUAUUGCAACAAUCUAUAGGACCCAGUGACUUGAGCUUGGAGUCCUUUUUGAGGCCAGAGGAUGCCAAAGAAGACGCAUGCUCCUUGAGAUCGAUGAGGCUGGACUGAAGCGUAGACACAAGAGAAGUAUUGAACAGCGUCCACUUCCUCCAGACGUUCUCGGUCUUCCCUCUCCCUCUGGUCCUUCAGACGCUCGAUGAUUCGCUCCUGACAGGACGCACAGUAAAAACACUUGAAUGAAGCCAACAAUAAGAGCGCCGGUUACUAGGCCUUACCUUCUCGGACAGCGCCUCCUCCAGGGUGGCCAGAGCAGUGUCGGUGUUCGUGGAGUCGGUCUGCAGAGACUUGACGCGGUCCUUCAAGUUGCUCAGCUGCUUGUCUUUGUCCCUCAGCUGCUCCUGCAAGUUCUCAAUCUGAGGAGGAGGAGACCAGCGCCAUCAUGUAACAAGCUUGCAUACGCCGUCUUUUACGGCAACGAUGAGAUGUAUAAAAACUGAUGUUGACGUGGAAAUGUAUUCUGCCUCACGGCACCGUACGCAUAUUUUGACAGGCUGUGAAUACUUGAGCGACACACAGAGGGGAUGCUGGGUAAUAGUUAACAUAAAAAUGGGAAAACUUUUAAUCCUCAGACUCUGGAAUGCCCUCCAGGUAACAGUUAGAAAUGCUACCUCAGUAGAAGCAUUUAAGUUCCAUCUUAAAACUCAUUUGUAAACGCUAGCUUUUAAAUAGACCCCCCUUUUAGACCAGUUGAUCUGCCGUCUCUUUUCUGCUCUGCGCCCCUCUCCUGCGUGGAGAGGUUAUUAGGUGACCACAGAUGACGCGCUAGCUGUUUAAAGUAGGUGGACCACUCAUCUGUGCAUCAGUUGGGGACGUCUCUGCACUGCUGACUUGUCUCCACUCAAGAUGAUCCCCUGCCCGGGGGGGGGGAGGGGUCCCCACAUCUGCCUCCAAGGUUUCUCAUUGUAUCCCAUUGGGUUGAGUUUUUUCUUGCCCUGAUGUGGGAUCUAAAUCGAGGAUGUCAUUGUGGCUUGUGCAGCCCUUUGAGACACUUGUGAUUAAAGACUAUAUAAAUAAACUUUGAUUGAUUGAUUGAUUGAGACUGAUUGAUGAUCCCCCAAGAUUUAGGCUCAGCAACAUUUGUUUUCAACAAUGUAAAACAGUUUGAGUCAAGGACACAAAAUUUACUUUUGGGGGUCUGGCAACUGUAUAAACACAUUUUGGUAUAAGUUCACAUUGGGGUGAUCAGUCACCCACUUCUUCUGAAGUGUUACAUAUCAUUGUAGCGUCGGGGUAGAGCACUAAUGUCCCCAAGUCAGUUUUGACAAUGCACAUCUAUCUUCGUCUGCACCUUCUUCCUGACACGACCAUUCAGUUCCAGUCAGUUCUCGGAGACACGCAAAGUCAAGCUGACAGUCGCUCUGCCGUUUGCUUUAAACACGAGAAAGAAGCACAUCCGACUUGUGAUUGGUCAGACCGUAGCGAGCUCAAGCCAGUGGUGUGCCGUCAGGGACAGCAAGGCCUUCUCUGCUGGCCUAACAUAACCAGAAAUCAUGAUCAUAAUUAAAGAUAAAAGUAACUUUUCAAUCAAUCAAUCAAAGUUUAAAUCACGAGUGUCUCAAAGGGCUGCACAAGCCACAACGACAUCCAACGACGGGCCUUUUAAUUUGACUUUCCCUAUAUAUUUAAAAGUAUUCAUUUUCUCUUCAUGUCAUAUUAUGCUCCUUCCAGUGCUGUUGUUUUUAGGUUAGAGUUUGUUUCCAAUCGGAAUUUUGCUAGCUUAUGUUGCCAUGCUGUACGAAAUCUGCCCGGAGCCUUCAGAAUCAAGAAUGCAGGCGUCUGUGAACUGUUAGUGAACAGGCACAUAUAGUUGAUAGACAAUUGCAAUAGCCAAUCAGAUCACGAGUUGUUGUCAUUCAGGCCUUCUAGCUGGCCUAAGGUUGAACGUGACAUUUACGCGUCCUGUGAUUGGAUACUCAUCAGGACCGUUAGCGGAUGAAUUUGAGAACACACACAGUUGAUGAACAGUUGCGAUAGCCAAUCAGAUCACAAGUUGUUGACAGUAGCCUCUCUAGGUAGCCUGAUGUUAACGAGACUGUGAUUGGAUACUCACUUGUAAUUCCAAAGUGAGUAUCCAUUCACAAGUUGCAAUUUAGCAGGAAGCGGGAAGUGUUGACCCACAAAGAAGGAGAACAAAAUGUUGAUUAGAUGGCAGAUAUAUAUUUGCAAGGAUAUUUUUAAGAAGGAUAUUUAAAGAGAAACUACAUCUUGUGAGACGAUGUCGGUGAUGAAACGGGGAAAUGCCCGCCAUUUCCACUCGAAUCAACCGACUGACUUGUACGGUGUCGAAUGGGUGGUACAAAUUGUGAGUUCAAAUAUUUUAUUUCUUAAUUUUUUCACGUUUAAUGUUUUUUGCAAUUUUAAUUUUGACAGUACCACAUGAGAUAUGUUUUAAUUGCUGAUGCAGGUUUAUUGAUUUUUAAAUGCGCCAGAAAAUAACCUGUUUUGUAUACUGUUGAUGUGAUCCAAUGCCCAGUAAUGCGUACAUUUAUUCCUGUAUAGUAUUUCUCCAGCAAUGGUCAUGUGGGGACAUAAAUUAUGGUAUUUUGAGAGGUAAUCAUUGAAGUCGGACAUCACUGACGGCCUAGGUGGGAAAAGCACGGCCCUCCACUGACUCAAGCACAUAGCUACUUUUAAUAUAAGGGGGCGUAGUCUGGACGAGUCAAGCCACGCACACGUCUGUGGCGGAUUUCAAGUAGAUUACAAUUCAACAAAGAAAUGUGCUUGGAUUUAUGAGUGCGAACACUUUAAUACAUCUGAAUUUCUACUUGCGUACGCCAUUUUCUAUAUUUGUUCGUACUUCCAUUUUUAGUAGGAAAGCCACGCAACUCUCUUUACAUGAGGCCCCAGGUGGAUGGUGGCGGAGCAGAAGCAAAUAUAUUUUUGAUUAAACAAAGACGCUUCCGCAGGUUUGUGGAUUUUUGGUCCAAAGGCGUGAGGUCUCACUCUGAGUUGUCUUUGCAGAACUGUUUUAGUCCACAACACAAACACGGAAAGUCAACAAAAUCGCCUCAUUCUCCGUUAAUAAUUCAUGCAUAUCCAAUUAUGCAUCAAAGACUAUAAUUGUUCUUUUUUGUGAUGUUUACCUUCUUCUGCAGGACAUUGAUUUUCCUUUCUUUGACCUCCAGCAUGUCCUUCAUGUCCCUGAUUUCUCCAGCGAGUGUGCCUUUCUCCUCCGUCAGGUCCUGCAGCUGCUUGGUUUUCUUGUUGAGGAAGGACUCCUUCUCCUCCAGACGCAGACGCAGAGCAUCUACCUGAAGCAUGGCGGAGGCAAAGAAUACUUCAAAGAAUGUGCUGGCAUCUCGCUUCAAAUACAGCUUUCCUUCGCCACUUCACAGUUUACUUACUACAGUCUCAGGGCAUCACAGAUUUAAAAAUUUAAAAUGUGUGUUUUAUAGAAACAUCUUUUUGAUAUUACCAGCUGUCUACUGAGUAGUGAAGCUGCUUUCUCAUGUGACAUCGUACACGGUACACAAUUGGCCAAUGGCAAACCAAUCACACUUUAGUUCUCUGUUUUGGCAGCUGGUUGGCUCAGCCACAUUGAGCCUCCUCUUUGCUUCAGUUCCAUGUACUGUAGCUCUGCUUGUGUGUUUAACAUUUGUAUUAAUUUGAAGGCCUACGAUGAUGUCCAAACGUUCCACGCCUUGUAAGGCUUCUGGCACAGAACCUUAGCCCCAGACAAAGCUGGUUACUACGGGAGAAAAGAUGAACCUCCUCAUCGCUAUGCUAAAAGAAGGUAGAUUAGCUACUAAGAUGAAUCCUCAAUUCACUAAUAAAGAAUAUAAGGAUAACUGUAACAGUGUCUAUCAAAAAUACUGUGGCAACAACUUUCACUAACUUUGUUCCUCACUCGAAAGAAGACACGAGCGUCACUGUCAUCAUGAUGCAGCUAAUUCUUUAGCGUCAUCAUUUGUGUGUAACAAUAUUUUAUGUUACAAUUACGUAUGAAUGUAGCCGGUGUUUAAGAGCGUAGUUAAAGGCCUGAUCUACUAAGAUCCAGAUAACAAAAAAUAAAACUAUAAAAUAUUAUAUACUAUAAAAUAGGCUGGCCAUAUUCUGAAAUCCCAAAAAGAGGACACAUACUGUAUAUGGGUGCCAAGGUAGGCAGAACACCAAGGCCGGGACUAGGUUAAAAAUUUGCCAAUGAUACUCGAACUUGCUUUAUAAAUAAUAUAUUUAUUUAAAUAAAGCAUUUUUUUCUCCUCUGUUGACAGCAGUGUUGGCGCUAGGAAUUUUUCAAAAUGGGGUCCCACAGUAAAUGUUUGGGGUCCCACUUUUUUGUAAGCGUUUUGAAAAAAAAUUAUAAAUGUAUGCAUUAACCUGUUAUAUCUCACAUUCUAUAUUGUGUUUUGGAAAACGGUUGUCAUAAACGUUACUUAAUUCAUUAAAAAAAAUAAUAAAACAACAAAAAAAACGUGUAUACAUAUGUAAAUGUAUUCAGUUAUAAACAUUUAUUCACUUUCUUCUUUCCUUCAUGGAUCUGAACUUUACCACUGCUGGUAUUUUUUUCUAUGUUUUUAUUUAAAAAGUUGUAGGUGUAUUUAUUUCAGUAUAAAAGUGUAAAAAGUGUUUUGCUUCGGCCAUGAAAUGAUGAUAAUGGUGUGCCAGGGCAUAAAUACAUUUCAUAUUUAACGCUUAAAUCCCUGGAGUCUAUAUCAA